AAUGGUGUAAUUUAAUAAAAAUUUUGCUCUGCAAAGGCGAAUAUACUCUAUGAGUUACCAUUU
rnacentral:tRNA from 1 species